rnacentral:rRNA from 1 species
GACGAACGCUGGCGGCGUGCCUAAUACAUGCAAGUGGGACGCAAGGAAACACACUGUGCUUGCACACCGUGUUUUCUUGAGUCGCGAACGGGUGAGUAACGCGUAGGUAACCUGCCUAUUAGCGGGGGAUAACUAUUGGAAACGAUAGCUAAUACCGCAUAAUAUUAAUUAUUGCAUGAUAAUUGAUUGAAAGAUGCAAGCGCAUCACUAGUAGAUGGACCUGCGUUGUAUUAGCUAGUUGGUAAGGUAAGAGCUUACCAAGGCGACGAUACAUAGCCGACCUGAGAGGGUGAUCGGCCACACUGGGACUGAGACACGGCCCAGACUCCUACGGGAGGCAGCAGUAGGGAAUCUUCGGCAAUGGACGAAAGUCUGACCGAGCAACGCCGCGUGAGUGAAGAAGGUUUUCGGAUCGUAAAGCUCUGUUGUAAGUCAAGAACGUGUGUGAGAGUGGAAAGUUACACAGUGACGGUAGCUACCAAAAGG